CUAGAAGAUGACGAGUGGCGGACGGGUGAGUAAUGCUGGGGAGCUUGCCUUUGGGAGGGGGAUAACAGUUGGAAACGACUGCUAAUACCGCAUAAUGUCUUCGGACCAAACGGGGCUUAGGCUCCGGCGCAAAGAGAGGCCCAAGUGAGAUUAGCUAGUUGGUAAGGUAACGGCUUACCAAGGCGACUAUCUCUAGCUGUUCUGAGAGGAAGAUCACCCACACUGGGACUGAGACACGGCCCACACUCCUACGGGAGGCAGCAGUGGGGAAUAUUGCACAGUGGGGGAAACCCUGAUGCACCCAUGCCGCGUGUGUGAAGAAGGCCUUCGGGUUGUAAAGCACUUUCAGUUGUGAGGAAAAGUUAAUAUUUAAUACCUGCUAGCCGUGACGUUAACAACAGAAGAAGCACCGGCUAACUCCGUGCCAGCAGCCGCGGUAAUACGGAGGGUGCGAGCGUUAAUCGGAAUUACUGGGCGUAAAGCGCACGCAGGCGGUUUGUUAA
rnacentral:rRNA from 1 species